rnacentral:rRNA from 1 species
GCCAGCAGCAAUAUCACCCUGGCCAGUACCCGGAUGGGAGACCUCCUGGGAAAUCUAGGGUUGCUGCUGGAA